AUCUUUGCCAAGAAAACCCCAAAUGAGAUCUUGGAGAGUCUGAACUUGAACUACUGAACAACAAAAAGACCACCUUCAAGUCAGGCCACUAUGAAGAAAUCUAUUUGGAGUCCUCUAAAACUCAACAUGGGAAUGAUAUCUGGGGCAGAACUAGGGUGGAUGAACAUUGGAGGAGCUGAAUCAUGCUACUGCUGCUGCGGCUGCUGCUGCUGCUGUUGCUGCUGCUACUACUAUUGCUACUGCUGUUGUUGCUACUACCCCUGCUGCUGUUGCAGCUAUUACUACUACUACUGCCAGUACUGUUGCUGCUACUACCCCUGCUGCUGCUGCUGCUGCUGCUGCUGCUACUGCUAUUACUACUAUUACUGCCACUGCUGUUGCUGCUAUUACCAAUGCUGCUGCUGCUGCUGCUCCUCCUACUAUACCUACCUCAUCCUCUAAGAGGAGUAAUUCUCUAGUUGUAUUGAUAAGGGAAGUUUCCUUACCUGGGAUUUACCUAUACCAAUAAAAUCAUAAAUCUAG